CAGCCGCCGCGGUAAUACGUAGGGUGCGAGCGUUAAUCGGAAUUACUGGGCGUAAAGCGUGCGCAGGCGGUUAUAUAAGACAGAUGUGAAAUCCCCGGGCUCAACCUGGGACCUGCAUUUGUGACUGUAUAGCUAGAGUACGGUAGAGGGGGAUGGAAUUCCGCGUGUAGCAGUGAGAUGCGUAAAUAUGCGGAGGAAUACCGAUGGCGAAGGCAAUCCCCUGGACCUGUACUGACGCUCAUACACGAAAGCGUGGGGAGCAAACAGGAUUAGAUACCCGCGUAGUCCCUGUCUCUUAUAC
rnacentral:rRNA from 1 species